UGGGAAUCUGGGAGCUCAUAACUGCAAUAUUAGAGUAUUGAUCAUUAGUUUUGAGUAAAAAAUGAGACGACUCAAUACUCAAUAAUUGACGGUAUUGAGAGGUUUUGUGUAUGUGCAAUACAAACUGGUAAACAUCUAACAAGAGAUUAGGAACUUACACUUGGUGUUCUGUCCGUAAGCGGCCGACAUUUUUCAGCUUGGCAGUAGGAAUUGAAGCUG